rnacentral:lncRNA from 1 species
GUAACAAAUACUUGUUCUGGGUAGUGACUUUGUUCUACGACUAGUGGUCGACACAAAGUCCUAGGGAUCCAUCCUUCAUCCUCAUAACAACACUGGAACACCCCAAGGUGAAGUGCUCAGUCAGAUGGGGACCCUUAACUACCAACUCUUACAACUGAUCCUUAUAACUCUUUUAACUCUGUUGAUACCAUCCUGUGGGGAGGGAUAGAGAUUGGUCCAAUUCCAUGCAUUACUUCUAUUUUAAACUCUAUCUCCCUGACAGGUGGUAGUCCUGAGAACUCAUCUAGGGAAACAUCUAAACUCUCUAACAAUGGGCACUGAGGCGGGCUCCCUGACCUGACUGCUAUACUCUCUCUGAAGAGCUAGAACCCCUGACAACUUUUCCUGAACAGCCUACGAGCCUAUAGGGUUGAUACUGAACCUCUAGGUAUCCCUAUUCUGUCCCCCCCUAAGGACUACCUCUGAUCCAUCCCGACCUCUGAACCUGACUACCUUGUCUCUGCAGACUAGGUAGUACCACUAGUAGAAGAACCAAUCCACCCCUAGAAUGACAUCAAACAGUCAAAUCUAGAACCGCUAGGUCAGCUGGAAGGCAUCUACUCACAACACAUACUCUGACUAUACUGGCAGACUGACUCUGCCACAGAUGGAUCACACUUGGGUGCACUGACCCCAAGGGGAUACUCUAACCCAUAAGCUAUCAACCCAACCUCACAAGGGCUCACAAGCAAACUAAGAAAAGAGAAACAUCAGGGUUCAUGAAACAGACACACCAGAACACACCAGAGUGAGAUUACCUGAUCCCAUCGGGUUCGAUGUGUUAGCCUCCUGCUGAGUCAUGGCGAAGAUCCGCGCUGAAGCUGAUGGACCUUCCCCACGGGAACCUGCUGAAGAAGGGGCUGUCCCCCUGUCUCCGCCUCUACCACUGCCCUGUAACAAGACUGGAGCUGAUGGUUGUGCCAUACUGCCUGGAGUUGUCUGAUGGGACGGUGUCAUAAAAGCUGCCUUAGGGCACUCUCGAGCUAUGUGCCCCUCCUGGCCGCAUCUGUAACAUACUGUAGUCCCAAACCGACAGACUCCCUUGUGCGGCCUACCGCACCUCGUACACUCUGCAACCUCUGUGCCUGAGCUCGAGCCACCUCCUAAUCCCAGACCAGACUUUAUCCGAUUCCAGAACUUGUUCUUCUUUGAUCUUCUGAGACCUCUGUCUCCCUUCUUACUUUUUGUGAUAGC